rnacentral:rRNA from 1 species
UACCAGCACCCCGAGUGGUCGGGACGAUUAUUGGGCCUAAAGCAUCCGUAGCCGGUCCUACAAGUCUUCCGUUAAAUCCACCUGCUUAACAGAUGGGCUGCGGAAGAUACUAUAGGGCUAGGAGGCGGGAGAGGCAAGCGGUACUCAGUGGGUAGGGGUAAAAUCCUCUGAUCCAUUGAAGACCACCAGUGGCGAAGGCGGCUUGCCAGAACGCGCUCGACGGUGAGGGGUGAAAGCUGGGGGAGCAAACCGG